rnacentral:rRNA from 1 species
CGCCGAAAAUGUACCGGGGCUAAACGUAUCACCGAAGCUGCGGACUGUUCUUCGAACAGUGGUAGGAGAGCGUUCUAAGGGCUGUGAAGCAAGACCGGAAGGACUUGUGGAGCGCUUAGAAGUGAGCAUGCCGGUAUGAGUAGCGAAAGAGGGGUGAGAAUCCCCUCCACCGAAUGCCUAAGGUUUCCUGAGGAAGGCUCGUCCGCUCAGGGUUAGUCGGGACCUAAGCCGAGGCCGAAAGGCGUAGGCGAUGGAUAACAGGUUGAUAUUCCUGUACCACCUCCUCACCAUUUGAGCAAUGGGGGGACGCAGGAGGAUA